rnacentral:misc_RNA from 1 species
AUUUUACUUUACCAAAUUGAGAACGCAAUAUUCUAGGACUAUUUAAAUUUGAACUUAAUUGCUUGCUUUAAAUUUAAACCCUAAUCUUCAUGAUAAUGUUCAUAAAAAUCUAGAGCUCAAUCUAAAAAUCAAGACACAUAACAGCAGAAAAAAAGGGAUUGAUUGUACAAAAAAAUCAUGGAAGUUACAGUUGUGUAUAAAUCUAAGUUCAACAACAUAGUAAAUCAAAUAAUAAAGAUAAGAUGAGAAGUGAAGAUAAUCCACCUUGGCUCUUUUACGAAAGACAUCAACAACUUCAGGAUUUGCAAUCAUAUCAACAUAU